GCAAACACGCUACCGAGACAAGGGUACGGCGUCGUCUUGGUUAACGUAAAUAUUUGUUUCAUUUGCUCUGUGAUUUUUUUCAAACCCUAUCGCUCAGUUUGUUUUCAUUUCGGACUAGUCCGCUGUUAGCACAUUACAUCUUCUUUCUCCUGGUAAAGUUUAGUAAGAUGGCCGGAAGAAAUCGGGUUCCUCGUGAAGCAUUUGAUCACCGGCGCGGCUAUCCAUUGGAGGGUCCUGUUCCUCGAGGUCCUCUGGCCCAUCCAAUGCCUCCGCAUCCUGCUAUAUUAGAGGAAGAACUUGAAAUCCGACAUGUUGAGCUUCGCAGGCUUCUGGGUGACAACCGGAGACUGGUUGAGGAUCGAAUUGCUUUGGAGCGAGAGCUAACCGCUGCAAAGGAAGAGUUGCGUAGGAUGAAUCUUGCCAUUGCUGAUAUGCGUGCUGAGCAAGAGCUCCAAACUAGGGAGCUUAUUGAAAGGGGCCUGAAGCUGGAGGCUGACCUUCGUGCGAUUGAGCCUCUUAAAAAUGAGGCCGCACAACUUCAUGCUGAGAUUCAGAGACUGAAUGCCAUUAGGCAGGAUCUAUCUGGGCAGUUUCAGACCCUCUCCCAAGACCUUGCGAAGUUGCGGGCUGAGAACCAGCAAAUUCCUGUUUUAAGGACCGAGAUUGAUGGGCUGCAUCAGGAAUUGUUGCGGGCUAGAAAUGCCAUUGACUAUGAAAAGAAUGCAAGCAUUGAGCUGAUGGAACAGAGACAGGUAAUGGAGAAGAACCUGGUAAGCAUGGCUCGUGAAGUUGAAAAGCUUCGUUCUGAGCUUGCAAAUUCUGGUGCUAGAGCAUGGAAUGCAGGUGGUCCCUAUGGGAUGUCGUUCAGCAAUCCUGAUGUUGGUUUUCCUGCUCCUUAUGGUGAUGGAUAUGGCAUUCGUCAGGGUGCUGUAGACAAGGGGCCUUCAUAUGGUUCAAGUUCUGCUCCUUGGGGAGGCCAUGAAAAACCGCGGAUGAGUCGUCGUUGAGCUGUGGAUCGAUAUGCACUAAACCUCGUAGGAGCGCACAUUGCAAUUCUUGUUUAAUCUGCUGCCCAAUAGAGUAACGGGCAGGAGACUAUGAUUUCAUGGGAAGCUGCUUUUACUGAUUCUCCCAGGGCAUGAGGUAAGUGGAUCAGGUAAAGUAUUCUGUCUCCAUGUUGUUUCAAAAGAGUGUGCAGGACUCUGUUUUCUUGAUCUGGAAUUAAGUAAACUAUUGCAGAACGAAGGUUCAUACAGACUCAGACAUUGAUGCCUGUGGGUUGUGAAAACUUUCACUGGGACUAAAUAUCAGUGUCCAGACAUGGUUUUUUGUCUGGCACCUGGUCACCCUGUUGGAACGUACUAUGAAAUAAUUUUUUCUUCUGGUUUGUGGCGAGCUGACGAACUGGUAAUUGGUAGGGCGACUUUUCAGAUGUUACCAACAUACUUUGAUCUCACUGGACAAAGCAUUUUGGGGCCAAAAAAUGUAAAUUGAAAGCAAAAACUGAGUAAAUACUUCUAAUGAUAGUAGCAAUAAUAAUAACGUAAUGAUGAUGAUGAUGAUGAUAAUUACACCGCCCCUCCACUGAGGUCUAGUGUAACUACACGUAGACUCCGUGAUUUGGGAAAUUACAUCUAGUACCCCUAACAUUUGUUUCCAUCAAACAGAUAGAUAUAAACGUUAGUUAAAAUUCAAAUUAUUUUUUCAUAUUAGCAAAAGUGUUGAAUAAAAAUCUAUAUUUAGUUUUAGUGGACUUAUUAGUGAUUUAUUACAAGUCAAAUAAUUCUUUUAUAACUAAACUACCUUCAAACAUCUUCACUGUUAAUGCAUGUGACGAGGUAUAUUUUAAGAAUAGUUUGGUCGAGGAAGAUUUUUCUUUGACCUUUAACAAGUCUUUAAGUCAAUUAGGAUAAAUAUGAAUUUUAAUUUAAUAUUUUUGCUGAUGUCUGCCAAUUAUAUGAAUUUUACUAACAAAUAGAUCUAUUUGUUGGAUAGAAGGAAACAUCAAAGGUACUAGGUGUAAUUUCUCAAGUCACAGGGAAUUUACGUGUAACUACACCAAACCUUAGGGGAGGAUGGUGUAAUCAUCCCUAAUUUUAACUUUUACUACUCUAAUUAUAAGAACAAAUGGAACUCAAGUUGCUUUAAGACCAAGGUAAAUUUUGUAAUUGAAUAGAAUCUAGGCUAGGAGAGUGUUUGUGACCUUGUAUGAAUAUGCAAAAUUUUUCAGGGGUUUUUUCUUCCUUUAUUCUGUAGAAAUUGGUUUUAUCAAUUGGAUUAUAUCAGCGAAUAUAAAUGAAAGCGGUACUAGUGUUUCACCUGUUGCUCCCCAAAGCCAUUUUAGCCAUUUUCAAAUUGCAUCUUAUUACAAUUCUAUUUAUUCUGCGCUCCCAAAAGCUUUACUCGCUUGUUUGUAUCUCUUUAUGAUUGCUCCUAUGACUAACUCCGAAUUGGUUGCAUGUGUUUGUAUAGCCGCAUCUUUAUUCUUUUGCUGUUAUCAAAAGAAAAAUACAGUGGUCUCAGAAGGACUAAUAGCUCGAAGCUACUUUUAGUUAGUAGUUCUUGACUGUGUUGCAUACGAUUUUUUGAUUUAGACUUCUAUUACUAGUUCUUCACAAAGUUCCGAAGAUUUUAUGGAUUCAUGUCUUGCUGAUACAUUUAAAGUUGUAUAUAAGGAAUCGGCUUGAUCUGUAGCUACUAGUGUUUAGGAUGUUGAAGAAUGUAUUGAUAUGUAAUAUGAUGGUUUAUUUGUUGCAAAAUAUGACUAUCUUGGUAUCUAUGAGCAUGAUUUUUUGUUAUA